rnacentral:rRNA from 1 species
UACGUAGGGGGCAAGCGUUGUCCGGAUUUAUUGGGCGUAAAGAGCGUGUAGGCGGUUAGGUAGGUCCGUUGUGAAAACUCGAGGCUCAACCUCGAGACGCCGAUGGAAACCAUCUGACUAGAGUCCGGAAGAGGAGAGUGGAAUUCCUGGUGUAGCGGUGAAAUGCGCAGAUAUCAGGAGGAACACCUAUGGCGAAGGCAGCUCGCUGGGACGUUACUGACGCUGAGACGCGAAAGCGUGGGGAGCGAACCGG